rnacentral:rRNA from 1 species
GAUGAACGCUGGCGGCGUGCCUAAUACAUGCAAGUCGAGCGAACAGACGAGGAGCUUGCUCCUCUGAUGUUAGCGGCGGACGGGUGAGUAACACGUGGAUAACCUACCUAUAAGACUGGGAUAACUUCGGGAAACCGGAGCUAAUACCGGAUAAUAUUUUGAACCGCAUGGUUCAAUAGUGAAAGACGGUCUUGCUGUCACUUAUAGAUGGAUCCGCGCUGCAUUAGCUAGUUGGUAAGGUAACGGCUUACCAAGGCGACGAUGCGUAGCCGACCUGAGAGGGUGAUCGGCCACACUGGAACUGAGACACGGUCCAGACUCCUACGGGAGGCAGCAGUAGGGAAUCUUCCGCAAUGGGCGAAAGCCUGACGGAGCAACGCCGCGUGAGUGAUGAAGGUCUUCGGAUCGUAAAACUCUGUUAUUAGGGAAGAACAAAUGUGUAAGUAACUAUGCACGUCUUGACGGUACCUAAUCAGAAAGCCACGGCUAACUACGUG